GGGGUUUGAGGAGAGUGGUUGGGAGGAGCAGCCCGCAGUGGAUCUGUUAGGUCGCCCAGCGGUGCCUGGAGUGGAUGCUGCUUUCGCUGGAAGUAAGAAGCAAUCCUGCGGAGAUUUUGUCCACCCGGGCCAGCCCGGGCUAGCGAAAGCUAGCUUCUCCUGGGUGACAGGUGUCUUUUCAGAGAUGCCCCUCAUCUUCAUCUAAACAGAAAGACUAGGCACAAAGUAUAACAAAACAAUCCACAAAAUGACAUCCUGCUAGCCUGAAAGGUUGACUGUUUGUCAAAAGCAACCUUUAGUCAUAACACCACAGAGGAAUGUGAGAGGAAUUAAAACAUCCUUGAUGGUUUGCAGCUCUCAAAACACGUUCAUGAUCUUUCGAGCCUCAUAUUGCUUCUCAGAGGCAGGCAAGAAAUGGAUUCAUUUAGAGAGACACCCAUUUUAUACGCAGAGUGUGGUCCAUUUCAAAAGGUGAGAAUGGCCCCAGGAGAAACUCACUCCACAGACAGAUAUGGGUCAUCUCAGAAGAUCAUUUGAUGGCCAUAUUGACUAAAGCAGAAGGUGCUUGUCCCUGGCAACGGUUGCUGAUAUAUGGCAAAUGCAAUUGACUCUUCUGAAUAAUCAGAUGGAUAGUCUUACCACCAGAAUGCACAGAGGAAUGGCCCCAAAAUUGUACAGAUGUACAUGUAUCUGUUUUAAAAAAUAAUUCUGUAUUUUUU